rnacentral:rRNA from 1 species
UGGGGAAUUUUGGACAAUGGGCGCAAGCCUGAUCCAGCCAUGCCGCGUGCGGGAAGAAGGCCUUCGGGUUGUAAACCGCUCUUGUCAGGGAAGAAAUCCUUUGAGCUAAUACCUCGGGGGGAUGAUGGUACCUGAAGAAUAAGCACCGGCUAACUACGUGCCAGCAGCCGCGGUAAUACGUAGGGUGCAAGCGUUAAUCGGAAUUACUGGGCGUAAAGCGUGCGCAGGCGGUUAUGCAAGACAGAUGUGAAAUCCCCGGGCUCAACCUGGGAACUGCAUUUGAGACUGCAGAGCUGGAGUACGGCAGAGGGGGAUGGAAUUCCGCGUGUAGCAGUGAAAUGCGUAGAUAUGCGGAGGAACACCGAUGGCGAAGGCGAUCCCCUGGGCCUGCACUGACGCUCAUGCACGAAAGCGUGGGGAGCAAACA